AGUCUCUCGGUGUCGCACCUGGGAGAGUUUCCAGUAUUCUACCAGUCUCGACUAUGGGAGUGAAAGUCAAGCAGAGGCCUGUCCAUUCCAUUCCUAGCUUGGGCAGUGGCUAGCGAGUGGAAGGCAAUCUGCUACAAGU